ACUUUUGUUUCCGGACACGGUUCCCGCGCUUCGCCGAGGCGGAGCGGGGAUUAAAAGGGAAUCCUGUGCAAAUCAGGAACUAUCCCCGUAGCUGUAAGUUUCAACGAAAGCCGCGCACUCUCUUGUGCCACUGUCGCCCUCAGACGGGAAGGCGUGCCGGCCGAAACGAGUCAGAAGACCUGCCGCAGUCCGCGCAUUCGG
rnacentral:ncRNA from 2 species